CUCAUUUCUAUAGAUAUAUAUAUGGUUAUAUUUCUUAUCAGAUUGACUGCUUAACUGCUCUAGCUAACUUCCUCUGCAUCUACCUUUUUCACAGAACUAUGCUUCUUACAAUCAUAAAAGAAAACCACAAAGAUCACCCACUUUAACACAUUUGCCAAGCAAACAAGCCCAAUAUGUAAUAUUGUGCCAAUGACUUCACCUCCUCCUGUCUUCCAUCCAGCAUAGAGGCAUGAUAAUCUCAGGCCAAGUCUCCAGGCAAAUAAUACCAGCAUUAGAACAAAUCCACAUAGCUUUCUACCUCUGCUUAGAUAUACUGCAACAACUAAGGCCUCAUCACCUUGUCUUUCUUCUAAAACUGAAAUCACAAUACCCAGGUUCCAGACAGCGCUCCACUCUAUAUAUUUUGCUAAUAAAGCAACAAAAAUCACCAAAGAUAUGAUUGUGAAGAAAACAAAAUAUAAUUCAGUGUAUAUUAAUACAUAUGCUGCCAAAGGGACAAGUCCAAAUGAAAUAAGAGAAGCUAACAGAAGAACAUAGAUGGAUGUGAUAAGAGGCCCCUUGAAUCUUGUUUCAUUGAUGAAUCUACUGAACAUGUGAUGAAGAUUCAUGGGCUCUUCGUCUUUGUAGAUCAUCGAUGCUACGUCCACUAUAGCAAUCGUGUUGAAGAAGUCUAUGAAAUAUAGGAUCCCAAGGUAUAACAGAACCAGAAGAAGAAACUUAUGAGAAACUUUUCCAAUCCAUCUUUCGAAAUUCAUCAGCUCUGCAUAAUCAUAAUUGAAGUCUUCAUAAGGACUCUUAGAAGGAGGAGUAAUGGUUUCUUGUAUAAUCUUUCCUGUUUCAAUCAAAGUUUGCUGAAAAACAAUCUCAUACAAACACAUAGAGCAAAACAAAGGAACAGAGGCGAAGAAAGAAAAGAUGAUGAAAUUGGGAUUCUUCAAUUGGAUGUUUAGAGAUUCUUUGAUUAAGCCAAAGAACCCUAGUCUCCCUUCCAUCUUCAUUUGAGAGUUUUCAAUCUUUCCCUGUGGAAUCUUGGAACUCAUAGUCUUGG
rnacentral:misc_RNA from 1 species